AUUGAACGCUGGCGGCAUGCCUUACACAUGCAAGUCGAACGGCAGCACGGGUGCUUGCACCUGGUGGCGAGUGGCGAACGGGUGAGUAAUACAUCGGAACAUGUCCUGUAGUGGGGGAUAGCCCGGCGAAAGUCGGAUUAAUACCGCAUACGAUCUACGGAUGAAAGCGGGGGACCUUCGGGCCUCGCGCUAUAGGGUUGGCCGAUAGCUGAUUAGCUAGUUGGUGGGGUAAAGGCCUACCAAGGCGACGAUCAGUAGCUGGUCUGAGAGGACGACCAGCCACACUGGGACUGAGACACGGCCCAGACUCCUACGGGAGGCAGCAGUGGGGAAUUUUGGACAAUGGGCGAAAGCCUGAUCCAGCAAUGCCGCGUGUGUGAAGAAGGCCUUCGGGUUGUAAAGCACUUUUGUCCGGAAAGAAAUCCUUGGCUCUAAUACAGUCGGGGGAUGACGGUACCGGAAGAAUAAGCACCGGCUAACUACGUG
rnacentral:rRNA from 1 species